rnacentral:misc_RNA from 1 species
GAGCGGAUCAACGUCUACUACAACGAGGCCAGCGGCGGCCGCUACGUGCCGCGCGCGGUGCUCAUGGAUCUGGAGCCGGGGACGAUGGACUCGGUGAGAUCCGGCCCAUUUGGGCGGAUCUUCAGGCCGGAUAAUUUCGUGUUCGGGCAGUCCGGUGCGGGGAAUAACUGGGCGAAGGGGCAUUACACCGAGGGGGCGGAGCUGAUUGAUGCGGUGAUGGAUGUUGUGAGGAAGGAGGCGGAGAAUUGCGACUGCUUGCAAGGUUUCCAAGUAUGCCAUUCUUUGGGAGGCGGCACUGGAUCCGGCAUGGGCACCCUUCUCAUAUCUAAAAUCAGAGAGGAGUACCCGGAUCGCAUGAUGAUGACGUUUUCUGUUUUCCCGUCACCCAAGGUUUCUGACACAGUUGUGGAGCCAUACAACGCUACCCUUUCGGUUCACCAGCUUGUUGAGAACGCAGACGAAUGUAUGGUCCUCGACAAUGAAGCUCUCUAUGACAUCUGUUUCCGCACUCUCAAGCUUGCCACCCCUACCUUUGGUGACCUUAAUCAUCUCAUCUCCGCCACCAUGAGUGGAGUGACAUG